GACGUUACCUACAGAAGAAGCACCGGCUAACUCCGUGCCAGCAGCCGCGGUAAUACGGAGGGUGCGAGCGUUAAUCGGAAUUACUGGGCGUAAAGCGCAUGCAGGCGGCCUGUUAAGUCAGAUGUGAAAGACCCGGGGCGUUAACCUACGGAAGUUGCAUUUAGUAAACUGGCAGGCUAGAGUCUUGUAGAGGGGGGUAGGAAUUUCAGGUGUAGCGGUGAAAUGCGUAGAGAUCUGAAGGAAUACCAGUGGCGAAGGCGGCCCCCUGGACAAAGACUGACGCUCAGAUGCGAAAGCGUGGGGAGCAAACAGGAUUAGAUACCCUGGUAG
rnacentral:rRNA from 1 species